CCUGGUUUUUGGAAGUAAUGUCUGGGAAACUGCCCGAUGGAGGGGGAUAACUACUGGAAACGGUAGCUAAUACCGCAUAACGUCGCAAGACCAAAGUGGGGGACCUUCGGGCCUCACACCAUCGGAUGUGCCCAGAUGGGAUUAGCUAGUAGGUGGGGUAACGGCUCACCUAGGCGACGAUCCCUAGCUGGUCUGAGAGGAUGACCAGCCACACUGGAACUGAGACACGGUCCAGACUCCUACGGGAGGCAGCAGUGGGGAAUAUUGCACAAUGGGCGCAAGCCUGAUGCAGCCAUGCCGCGUGUAUGAAGAAGGCCUUCGGGUUGUAAAGUACUUUCAGCGGGGAGGAAGGCGGCAAGGUUAAUAACCUUGCCGAUUGACGUUACCCGCAGAAGAAGCACCGGCUAACUCCGUGCCAGCAUCCGCGCUAAUACGG
rnacentral:rRNA from 1 species